rnacentral:rRNA from 1 species
GACGAACGCUGGCGGCGUGCUUAACACAUGCAAGUCGAACGGAAAGGCCCUGCUUUUGUGGGGUGCUCGAGUGGCGAACGGGUGAGUAACACGUGAGUAACCUGCCCUUGACUUUGGGAUAACUUCAGGAAACUGGGGCUAAUACCGGAUAGGAGCUCCUGCUGCAUGGUGGGGGUUGGAAAGUUUCGGCGGUUGGGGAUGGACUCGCGGCUUAUCAGCUUGUUGGUGGGGUUGUGGCUUACCAAGGCUUUGACGGGUAGCCGGCCUGGGAGGGUGAACGGCCACAUUGGGCCUGAGGUAGGGCCCAGACUGGUACGGGGGGCAGCAGUGGGGAAUCUUGCGCAAUGGGCCGAAGCCUGAUGCAGCAACGCCGCGUGCGGGAUGACGGCCUUCGGGUUAUAAACCGCUUUCGCCUGUGACGAAGAGUGAGUGACGGUAAUGGGUAAAGAAGCCCCGGCUAACUACGUG